GUAGGUGAACCUGCGGAAGGAUCAUUAACGAAUCAAGGUCUUCGGACCGAUUCUCUUACACCCGUGCUCUUUGUCUUUAUGACAAAACGAUUUUCUGCAUAUACAGUCGUCUGAGAAAUCCAUCCUUUUAGGAUGUAGAAGAAAUAUGAAAACUAUGAACAACGGAUCUCUAGGCUCUU
rnacentral:misc_RNA from 1 species